AAGAUGAGAGAUGAAAUGAAGGCAAUAAAUAGCAAACUAAAUAAUGCAGAAGAAUGAAUAAGUGAUCUGAAAGACAGAAUGAUAGAAAUCACCCAAUCAGAACAGCAUACAGAAAGACAAA